rnacentral:misc_RNA from 1 species
CUGUCCGUGGCGCAAUCGAGUUGGUUGUUCCUCGUGCACCCUCCCGCUCGAUCGUCGAGGUCCCAUUCACUGGGCGACCUGAUAGAGAAUCCCUCCAUGCAAUCGCAGGACAUGUUCGCGUUGUUGUCGCCGCCGCCGGUGGUGGUGCAGACAGUGAAAGGUCCACAGGCAGCGUGGACGCUGCAGGGAUUCAUGGGCUGGGUGUAGAAGUCUCGCCAGGCGUGGCUGCUCUCCACCCACACGCGCCCCUUGAUCUGGCCAGAGGUCUCCACGGCGGUGUACACGGAGAGGGUGUCGUUGGGUAUGGUGUAGAUGUAGUACUGCUCCUGGGCGUUGUCGAUCUGGUUGUAGCUGAUGAAGCCGCUGUCGCUGGGAUCCACGUCCGACAGUGAGAAUGUGCCCGACGCCCAGUACACGACGGAAGAGGAGCACUGGCUGAG